GGUAACAGGUAGCUUGCUAUGCUGACGACCGGCGCACGGGUGAGUAACGCGUAUACAAUCUACCUUGUACUGAGGGAUAGCCCAGAGAAAUUUGGAUUAAUACCUCAUAGUAUAUGGUCUUCACCUGAAGAUUAUAUUAAAGGUUACGGUACAAGAUGAGUAUGCGUUCUAUUAGCUAGAUGGUAAGGUAACGGCUUACCAUGGCGACGAUAGAUGGGGGCCCUGAGAGGGGGAUCCCCCACACUGGUACUGAGACACGGACCAGACUCCUACGGGAGGCAGCAGUGAGGAAUAUUGGACAAUGGGCGAGAGCCUGAUCCAGCCAUGCCGCGUGCAGGAUGACUGCCCUAUGGGUUGUAAACUGCUUUUAUACAGGAAGAAACACUCCCUCGUGAGGGAGCUUGACGGUACUGUAAGAAUAAGGAUCGGCUAACUCCGUGCCAGCAGCCGCGGUAAUACGGAGGAUCCAAGCGUUAUCCGGAAUCAUUGGGUUUAAAGGGUCCGUAGGUGGAUAAUUAAGUCAGAGGUGAAAUCCUGCAGCUCAACUGUAGAAUUGCCUUUGAUACUGGUUAUCUUGAGUUAUUAUGAAGUAGUUAGAAUAUGUAGUGUAGCGGUGAAAUGCAUAGAUAUUACAUAGAAUACCAAUUGCGAAGGCAGAUUACUAAUAAUUAACUGACACUGAUGGACGAAAGCGUGGGGAGCGAACAGGAUUAGAUACCCUGGUAGUCCACGCCGUA
rnacentral:rRNA from 1 species